AAACCAUGAUUCAGAUACUUCUGCAAAUAUUCCUUGAAUCUAUCCCAAGCUUCAAAUAAUUGUUCCCCCGAAAGCUAUUUGAAAUCAUAUAUCGUGUCACGAAUUU